UACGUAGGGACCGAGCGUUGUCCGGAUUCAUUGGGCGUAAAGGGCUCGUAGGCGGCCAACUAAGUCGGACGUGAAAUCCCUCAGCUUAACUGGGGAACUGCGUCUGAUACUGGAUGGCUUGGAUUUGGGAGAGGGAUGCGGAAUUCCAGGUGUAGCGGUGAAAUGCGUAGAUAUCAGGAGGAACACCGAUUGCGAAGGCAGCUCGCUGGGACGUAACUGACGCUGAGACGCGAAAGCGUGGGGAGCAAACAGG
rnacentral:rRNA from 1 species